rnacentral:rRNA from 1 species
GAUGAACGCUGGCGGCGUGCCUAAUACAUGCCAGUCGAGCGAACGGACGAGAAGCUUGCUUCUCUGAUGUUAGCGGCGGACGGGUGAGUAACACGUGGAUAACCUCCCUAUAAGACUGGGAUAACUUCGGGAAACCGGAGCUAAUACCGGAUAAUAUUUUGAACCGCAUGGUUCAAAAGUGAAAGACGGUCUUGCUGUCACUUAUAGAUGGAUCCGCGCUGCAUUAGCUAGUUGGUAAGGUAACGGCUUACCAAGGCAACGAUGCAUAGCCGACCUGAGAGGCUGAUCGGCCACACUGGAGCUGGAACGCGGUCCAGACUACUACGGGAGGCAGCAGUAGGGAAUCGGCCGCAAUAGGCGAAAGCCUGACGGAGCAACGCCGCGUGAGUGAUGAAGGUCUUCGGAUCGUAAAACUCUGUUAUUAGGGAAGAACAUAUGUGUAAGUAACUGUGCACAUCUUGACGGUACCUAAUCAGAAAGCAACGGCUAACUACGUG